rnacentral:tRNA from 1 species
GGGGAUAUAGCUCAGUGGCACGAGCACGUGCCUGACAAGUACAAGAUCCUGAGUUCAAUUCCCGGUACCA